rnacentral:antisense_RNA from 1 species
AUAAAUUUAAAUAUUAAAAUACGAAAAUAAAAUAAUUUAUACCAAAUAAAUAGUUUAACUUUUUUCUUCUAUUAUAAUAUAUAUUAUCUUUAAGAAAAAUAUAAAGCCAGUAUUGAAAAGAAAUAUUCAAGUGGUUUUUGGCUAGAAAUUCUUUAUUCAAGCAUACAUAGAUAAGAAUAUAUACAAGAUAAAUAUUACAACUUUGCAACAAAAUAAUGUCAGGAAAAAUUAGACAAGGAUUUGAGUGGUCAUUAGUACUAAUUCUCUUAUUGGCUGUUUUUAUCUCAUAUGACCAAUACUUUUUUGCAGCUUCAGUAGGAUUGGGUGUUGCAGUUUUUGUAUUGAUAACAGAUUACUUAUUUUUAGAUUCAAAUCAAUUUAUAUUUGAUCCAUUUUACAAUAAUUGGAUACAAAGAGUGAAUAACUAAUAGUAAUAAUGGAAAAAAUAAAUGAAGAGGCAGAGGAGGGGAGGAGUAAAAAAAAAAAAAAGGUUAUAAGUCUUUAUAGUAAGAAUUUUACUCAUUAUUUUUCGAAAGAAAUAAUACGAUACAAUUAUAUAUACAUUAUCAUUUUUAUAAUAGUAGGUGUUUAAAGCAAUCUAAAAGUAAUAAUUCUUUUUUUCCUAUUAAUAAUUUUCUUAUGAUAUUACGUGUUAUUUUGCAUGCAUGCAUGUAAAGUGGAGCCUACAAAUGCUAAAUCUGAGUAGAUUAUUAAAAAAAUUGCCAGUAUUACUAAUAUUUAUUGCAGUUUUCUUUACUUUUCUUCCAUUCUUGUUAUUCUAUAUUUUGAUCGUUUCUUGAGUCUUGGAUAAUCUGAUAUUGAUAUUGGCAAUGUAACUCCCAUGGAGAAGGAGAUUUAUAACCUAAUUUAGGAAGAAUCACUGCUUGUAUUGAAUUUAAUUCUGCAUCCAUAAACAUUGAAGUUAGACACUUUUUUGUAUUAACUAAAACAUUGAAAAAAUGGCCAGCAAUUAAUUUAUUUCUAAGAAAAUCAUCCAACCUGUAUCUUCCUUGUAUUCCUGGCAUAAGUAAAUCGUUCAUCAUGCAAGAAAUAUUAUUCAAUUCUGGAAUAAAAUAAUUUAAAUCGUUACAUCUGCUCUUCUGUUCUCUAAAAAAAUAGUCAAUCUCACUAAAACUUAUCCAUCCGUCACAAUCAAAGUCAAUAAUCUCAAACCAAUACCUAAUACUUCUUUCUGUCGUCUUAUCUUCAUCACUAAUGUAAAAAUAAAUAAAAUCAUGAUAGCUCAUCCUUCUAUUUCUGUUCAAUUCAUCCUCAAAUAACUCUUUUUUCUCACAUAUAUUACAUUCCCAUAUUCUUGUCAAGGCGUUCAUAGUUAAUGAUCCAGAAUCAUGCUUCUUAAAAUCAUCCAAUGUUAAAUAACGAUCUUCAUCACUAUCUAACUCAACAAAACGGCUAUACAAAACAUAAAAGUGUUGGUAAUUAAAGUAAUUUAUUAAAUCAUCAAAUGAUUCAUUACCUUUCAUAUUUAUUAAUAUAUCUACCAAAUCAGUAUUUUUAAAAUCUUUAAAUCUUAAUUUUCGUAUUUCUAAUAUAUCCAAUUCAUAAUAUAUUCUGGAGAUUAUUGUCUCAAUAUACAGUUCUUUAAAUAUUUCGUCUUUUACUAAAAACUUCAAUGCU